rnacentral:rRNA from 1 species
CCUACGGGGGGCAGCAGUGGGGAAUAUUGCACAAUGGGGGAAACCCUGAUGCAGCAACGCCGCGUGAGUGAGGAAGUAUUUCGGUAUGUAAAGCUCUAUCAGCAGGGAAUAGAAAAGAAGGUACCUGAAAAAGAAGCCCCGGCUAACUACGUGCCAGCAGCCGCGGUAAUACGUAGGGGGCAAGCGUUAUCCGGAUUUACUGGGUGUAAAGGGAGCGUAGACGGCUGUGCAAGCCAGAUGUGAAAGCCCGGGGCUCAACCCCGGGACUGCAUUUGAAACUGUCGUUCUUGAGUACUGGAGAGGUU